CAGCUUGUGGCAGAUUUUGCAAACUUCAUAGGAGUUCAGGUAUCAUCGCAUAAUAAUCUUACUCCUGGAAUGGUUUCAGAACCAAUGACCAGGUUUACUGGAUCCCCAAAAUGCCAUGGAAUCAGCCCACACCAGGGUAGAUUUGGGGGAUGGGUAAGGAGAGAAACAGAGUUGGAAUGAAGAUGUUGGAGACAACAGGAUAUAUUUGUGAAGAUACCAAAGUCAUUUCUACUCUCAACUCUGACAAUAGCUGGACUCUACGGGGAUGUUUUGAACUUGAAGCAUUCUCCAGGACUGGGCUGUUCACCUUUGCAUGUCUGUCUUGCCAUGAGAAGAUGCCAGGCCAGCCUGUUGGAAGAAUGUGAAAGACACGUGAGCCAGGAUGGCCUGGUUUGAUCCAGCUGACCUUGGAUGACCAAGCACUCAGCUGCAAGCCAGCCAGCUGCCUGCCAGACUUGCUGUAAGCUCCAUGUAAGGAAGAGGCUCCUUCUACUUUCUUCACUAUUAUACCUAUACCAGCCACCAAAUCUGUUGAGGGAAUGAAUCAUGACCUUGCUCAUUUUAAGUAUGUAAACUUCUCGAACAGAAGGACUUCAUCUUUCUACAAGUAUGGU